GUCUCUGAUGUUGCUGGCUGAUGAAGUUAUAAACUGUGGAUACACAAGCCAGAUCAAGCUGGAUAAUAAACAAAACACCAUUCGACUGAUUCCAAUGCUUCAGCAAGUGAGAAAGGGCAUGGAACUGUAUGGUCUGCUCAGUCAGAUGGCUGCAAACCCUGAAGCUUUACACACUCUUUGUUCUUGGGAAGAUCAUCAAAAUGCUGAUUUCAUAAUGAUGAACUGCCGACCACAGCUCAGUGAAAAGGGGACAUCUCAGGAGACAACUGAAAGAUUAUAAACUUCAUGCAAGAUUUUUGCCAGGAGCUUGAAAUAUCUGUGCUGCAGUUGAGGAGCCCCACUCUCUUGGAGUUCAGCAUGUGCUCCAGUGGUUGACCGGGAAAGCCCACAUUCCCAUCCUCCCUGAUGAAAAGAGACAUUUCAAAAUAAUAUUCAUGUUUGACCACGACUGCAGGGAGCCACUUGGAGAUCACUCCAUUUGUUACCAAACUGUGAGUGCAUGCACUCGUACAGUAACUUUUCCAGUGCAGCAUCUCAACACUUACACUGAAUUCAGAAGACUUAUGAGUGAAGCAGUUAGAUAUGGUGGUGGCUUCCACAGAGUUUAACAGAAAUAGCCCUCUGGUAAUCUGAAACAAAAAAUGAGAAGCUAUUUCUAAACAUUAACUGAUAGAAUAUGUUCAUAGCUAAUGAAAAAAGCAAAAACAAUUGUUCCUGUUAGCUCAGUGUUUGACUUUCUCUUCAGUCAUACAGAUUCCCUUUUAUACAGGGUUCUCUUGCUUUUAUUAGUUAGAAAAGCUUCAAUCAUUUUUGUCACUGUGCUGGA